rnacentral:rRNA from 1 species
AGACAGCAGCCGCCGCGGGAAUACGUAGGUGGCAAGCGUUGUCCGGAAUUAUUGGGCGUAAAGGGCUCGCAGGCGGUUUCUUAAGUCUGAUGUGAAAGCCCCCGGCUCAACCGGGGAGGGUCAUUGGAAACUGGGAAACUUGAGUGCAGAAGAGGAGAGUGGAAUUCCACGUGUAGCGGUGAAAUGUGUAGAGAUGUGGAGGAACACCAGUGGCGAAGGCGACUCUCUGGUCUGUAACUGACGCUGAGGAGCGAAAGCGUGGGAAGCGAACAGGAUUAGAUACCCCCGUAGUCCCUGUCUCUUAUAC